GGGGAUGUCAAGUUUCGACAGGAUGGCACUUUAAAAACUGCAAGCCGUUAAACCAAUCUGUAACGUAAAAUUGUGUUGGGAAAGACAAACGCCAAUUUAUUUGGUCGUUCCAAUAGAGUAAGCGGAGCUUACGCCUAAAGGUGUUUUAAGGUAGCUUCAAGACGUAUCCUUAAAGCAAGUACCCAGCCUUGAUGCAGUUCCGAUGAUUUAAUCCAUCAAUCGGAAUCAAGCAAUUUGGAUUAAGUAUUAACCUUCCUGCUAGUAGGUUACAAGUUAAUACUCUCAUAUAUACUAGCUAAGCUUGUAGAAGUUUUUAAAAGGUUUAUCUUGGACGGGGGUGCAAAACCCCCCAUCUCCACCC
rnacentral:tmRNA from 1 species